rnacentral:rRNA from 1 species
AUUGAACGCUGGCGGCAUGCCUUACACAUGCAAGUCGAACGGCAGCACGGGAGCAAUCCUGGUGGCGAGUGGCGAACGGGUGAGUAAUAUAUCGGAACGUGCCCGGUCGUGGGGGAUAACGUAGCGAAAGCUACGCUAAUACCGCAUACGAUCUACGGAUGAAAGCGGGGGAUCGCAAGACCUCGCGCGAUUGGAGCGGCCGAUAUCAGAUUAGGUAUUGGUGAGGUAAAGGCUCACCAAGCCGACGAUCUGUAGCUGGUCUGAGAGGACGACCAGCCACACUGGGACUGAGACACGGCCCAGACUCCUACGGGAGGCAGCAGU